rnacentral:rRNA from 1 species
AACGAACGCUGGCGGCAUGCCUAACACAUGCAAGUCGAACGAGACCAUCGGGUCUUUUGGCGCAUGGCGGUGUCACCCGUGGGAACCUUCCCUUGGGUUUGGCAUACCUCUCCGACAGGGGUGCCAAUACCGGACCAUGUCUUCGGCCGAAAGAUUUAUGGCCUUUGGUUGGGCCCGAGUUGGAUUAGCUAGUUGGUUGGGUAAAAGCCUACCAAGGCGACGAUCCAUAGCUGGUCAGAGAGGAUGAUCAGCCACACUGGGACUGAGACACGGCCCGGACGCCUACGGGAGGGAGCGGUGGGGAGUAUUGGACAAGGGGCGAAAGCGAGGUCCAGCAACGCCGCGUGAGUGAUGAAGGCCUUAGGGUUGUAAAGCUCUUUUUCACGAGGUGAUAAUGACAGUACCGGGAGAAUAAGCUCCGGCUAACUCCGUG